rnacentral:rRNA from 1 species
UACGGAGGGUGCAAACGUUGCUCGGAAUCAUUGGGCGUAAAGCGCACGUAGGUGGCCUGUUAAGUCGGGUGUGAAAUCCCUGGGCUCAACCCAGGAAGUGCACUUGAAACUGGCAGGCUUGAGUACUGAAGAGGGUCGCGGAAUUCCCGGUGUAGAGGUGAAAUUCGUAGAUAUCGGGAGGAACACCAGUGGCGAAGGCGGCGACCUGGGCAGAUACUGACACUGAGGUGCGAAAGCGUGGGGAGCAAACAGG